UAAUUCAUCUAAUCGAAGAACCUCACAGAUAUCAUCAUGGAUGUGGUUUUUAAUGAUUUGGAAAGAAAGACAGCCUGUGGAGACAGAGAUUUGAGACAGCACAUUGAAGUUAUUGCCAAUUUGAAAUACUCCAUUUGCGAAGCCGAGCCCUAAGGGGCAAACUCGGUAACUGAGAAAGAGAUCGUAGAUAAAGAAAUAAAAAUGACAAGCGUAAUGGAGGCUCUGUGAAGGGACUGUCAGAGCGUCAGUUCAUGGAUGGCAAUUUCGCCAGGCUGAGACUGAAUAAUUCAUAGAUUGAAAGUACCCUGCUUUCACCUUUCCAUUUAAACCGGCAUGAUCUGAAUCUCUAAUAAAUUUUCAAGAUAGAGUAAAAUGCCAAUUUGAAUCUGAAGAGCUUUUCAAAGCAGAUGCCGUAUCCCUGAAUCUUUCUAUAUCUUCCACAAUUAUCCUAUGAGAGAGAAUUGCACUUCAUCACGAAGCACCAUUACCAGGGAAAAUUACUGUGAUUACAAUAGCAAUAGGACAGCAUCAGAUGAUCUCCAAUUUACCUAAUUUGCUAAGACUGACUGUGGUUUUAACACCCAUUGUGUGUCACCCUGACCGGCAUUCAUGGAUUUGUCUUAAGUGGGGGGGAAAAAGUGGGGUAGUAUGCGCACCCCUUAGCUCCAAAAACCUAGCAAAGAACAUCCUUUUAGGUCACAAUGUCUUUCAUUUGGUUUAUGGUUUUUUUUUUUUGUUUGUUUGCUUUGUUUCUAAUACCUCUAUCCCAAAUGCCUGCUUGGGAAAACGGCGAGCCUGUUAUGCAUCGUAAGUUUAUUCUUUGCUACGGGAGGGGAUUGACUCGUUAAUUUGUACACACUCUUGGUUUUAAUAUAUACAAGCAUGUGUUUACCAGAAGGGAGAAAAGAUUCCAUCCCGGGAGGACAGCUUUCAAAUGCAGACAAAAUGAAGUAUGCAUGUUGGCUUCUACUUUGAAACUCCUGUGUGCUCACAGGUUAGAAUCCUUUGGGGGGGGAGCUGUAAUCCUGGGGUGGUAUGUUAAAAACCUUUCCAGCUGAACAGCAGCUCAGGUGGUAGCGCCAGUAAUAAGCCGGUACAGCACAUCCUGAAAGCCAGUGUGUGAGAGUCAGUGAUUAAAUGAAGCUCUGGGGGACUUGGGUUGUUCACGCCUGCUCACUGUGGAGAAGUCUGUGCCGAAGAGAACUUUUUUCUGACAGGCUGUUCUGCUUAUUUUGAGGUAACUGUGCCAUCUUGAGAGGGUGGCAUGGAUCAUAAAUUCUCCCUGGAGACCAGGCUGUAACCAUUUCAGAGGCGCAGUGACUUCUGGAACUUGCGUUUUCAUUUCAUGAAGACAGUGAUGGGUGGCUUUGCCAGUUAUUUCUUUUACGUUCGAUUAUUUCAGGUAGAGUUCAGAGGUGUGGCAACCAUUUGGGAAGAAGGUGGCUUUGGAACAUUUCUGCCUGAUGUCUUGGGGUUUCUGCUUGAGAAUUUUUAGCUCUGAUAUGUCCUUUAAGUUACUGUCACUGUACCCCUUCUUGCGUCCUGUUCCCAUGAGUACGUUGUCACGAAGAGAGGUUCACUGUUCCAUUCAACCUUGGUUGAAGAAUCUCUGAUUUGCUGUUGCUGCUGCUGGUGGGGAUGGAACCCAGCCUCACACACCGCUCUACUGCUCUACUGCUGAGCAAUAUCGCUAGCUGAAGAAUCUAACUUUGAGGCAUCAUUGGAGCCGAAGGGAGUUAACAUGCGUGCAGGGGUGCUUAGCUGGGCGCUCUGCUAUCAUGCAGGAGACACAGUUAUCUUUUCUAUAUACAGGGCAAAUAAAUGAGGAGCAACCCCACGGAGAAUCUGUCAGCCACCUCAGCGCUUGCAAAUCUGAGCCUUCACUGUCACAAGGCUAAAAGACAUUUGAUAAUAAAAACAGUUCACAUUUUUAGAAAAAACAUUCUGCAGGCAGCAACCUCAUGACACCCUUUCCACAAGAAACUGACUUUUCAAAAACUGUGGAUUGUGUACUGAGCCUUCAAGCAACAGACAGACCUUAUGCAGUAAAGACCUAUGGGCAGCACCGACCCAAGCCUGUAGGUCCGGCAGAAGGAUUUAGGGAUGGCUUACAGCCCCUCUUGCAGACUGUCUGGCCUCUGUGUGAGAACCCCAGCUAGAACUGUUUAAAAACAGCCUUUAUAUAAGCAAAGUAUGAAACUCUGAGUGAAAACUGAGGACUUCUUUUCCUGGCAAUGACAAACCCUACAUAUUUUCUUUUUCUUCCUCUAAGAACAGUCAGUCCUAAAUAUUUUUUUCUGAUUUGAGCCUUUUUCCAAGAGAAGCACAUGUGGGAAGCUUCUGCAUGUUUCUGUUUGUCCCAAAACCACAGCAAACAGGGCAAGUGUACAAAUUAGUGCUUAAAAGAACAGGAGGCUCAGCAAGCAUGGUGCAGGGUGAUACAGGCAAACUGUGGCCCAGGAGCAAGCUCACCGCCUUGCAGCCUUCGAAGCAGCUAUGUUCAGUGAGCUGGGUCUGGACUUACACCAGCAAUGCUUGUUUUUCACAAUUACAAGUGGGCACCCAACACUGUUCACUUCAGUCAGCAACAUCUCCUAGUUCUUUUGCUUAUAUCCUAAAAGGCAUCUUUGAGCUUGCCAACUUCCUGAAUGGUGCUAAAGGUAGCAUACCUUAUACCAUCUUCAAAGAUGUACAUUGUUUUGCAAAAUUGCAACUGUAAAGAGUGUUUCCAAAUCGAAGUUUUUGGAGGGAAGAAGAGAGAGGGCCACUAAAUGCUUGAAGAAAUACAGGAAGUCAUAAUUUGAGAUUUAAGAAUAAAGUAAAAGAGUAAUUUUAGUACGCUAUUUUUUCUUUCCUACCAGGAAACUUCAUUAUGAUGUGGGACAAGAAAAUUGAUUUUCCAAGCAGUAACAGCUUUGAAUAUAGCAAAGCUAUGCUGGUUUGUGCUCCAUUAAGGAACUGAUGUACAACUAAAGCAAGCAGCAGGUUUAUGCAUAGAUGCCUGUAGAUUUUUCUAGAAAUCCCUGAGAGAAUUAGAGCUGUGUUUGCAAGUGGCCACUACCCCUGCCUCCAGGAGUAAGUGAGGGAAGAGUAAGAACUGACUCUUGACAAACCACGAGUGAAUUUAAGAGCCAGAACCCAAGAGUGUCUAACACACUGCGGGAGCCUCCAGAGUGAGGAUGGACUGCAAGCCAUCCUAGAAGGUCACAGGCAGGAGACUUACUUGCUCAGAGAUUUCUAUGUUGUAUGCAGAAGUCAAAGAAUGUUAUUUUGCAUGAGCCCCUGGUAGAAGGGGAACUUGAGGGGCUAGGUUAGAGGGCAAGUGCUCUACUCCCUAUCAGCCUGAGAGUUUGCCUGUAAGUAUGCUGUCAAAAACUGUAGAGCCAGGCUCACAAGGAGCUGGACUCACUUAAGACGGUUGGGCCCAGACAAAGACAGAGCUGGCUUCUCCUCCAGAGCAAUAAUGUAGGCUGCAGGGCAGGGGCUCAAGUGGACUGUUGGGACUUAAUAGCAAUAGUUGUGAGGUCUGAUUGUUCCUUUCUUUCCCUGGGGAUUAUCCUCAUCAGGAUCAGGUUGCUUGGUUAACCCUCACUUCUGCAUUCCUGUGCCAAGGGGAAGCAAAAACGCAGAGCCAGCCUGGAAUGGGUUGGGUGGAUGGUCCUACAUUUGUGCCUCGAUUCCAGCACAGGCUUGCUUAACUCACACUGUGGCAAUGACUUACCUUGCUUGUAGACAGGAUUUCAUCUGUUCCCAUGGGAGGGUAUUUUGGUUACUUUCCUCUCUUUGCUGGGGCAAAACACCCCACACCCAACAUAAAGGAAGGAAGGAAAGGUGUAUUUUGCUGUUUGUGGAAUUUUCAGUCCAUAACCUGCUGGCUGCAAGGCAAGGUGGCAUGACUGAGGGGCAACACUUCAAGGCAAUAGGCAACAAAAGCAAGCCAGAGCAAAAGAAGGCAGAGAAAAACUCUACCUUAUGUUGUAUGCAGGCCACCCCUACCCCCAUCCCAGGGUAGAUGUAGCACUCAGAAAAUCUCCUUGUCUUCCUCUUUCACAGGCUCAGGAUGUUUACUUAAAGUGAGGAUCCUGGCUCCCUGCUGAGACUCUUAAACUUCUAAUCUACUCAGGUUGACACAAUGUAUCAACCAUAACAGUGAGGUGCACAGUCCAGGCAUUCAAAGAACCAAGGGUGAUUGCACACCAGGCAUUUCAAUGACCAGUGAAGACCAGUUCAUGCUUUAAGCAGUACCGUCAGAGUCCGAGUACACCUUGGAUUAUCCUCCGAGAAACCUCAGGAAAGAGUGAACCAGCUGCCAUUGGCUGUUACUCACUCAUGCAUUCAUUUAUUCAACAAAUGUUCACAGAGCACAGAAUAUGUGCCAUUCUAGGUGCAGGAGAUACAAGAAUACACAAAAAAGAAUGUAAAUUCUGCUCUCAAAGGGCUCAUAUUUUAAAAAGUCAACAAAUUAUAAAAUGUAUUUUCAAAAUACAUAUGUCUAAAGUUUUCAAAUAAACUACAGAGUUUAUAUGAGCAAUUUGUGAGCUGGGCUGUGUACAGAACCAGGAGUUCAGAGAGUUCGGUCCUGCAGGAACUCCAAAGCUAAGUAGAGGAACCACCUGAUUGGCUAUUUAUUUGAGGCAUUUGCCUUGUUUGGGUCUGGUGUGGUGAGCUGGCUGCUUGUGACUGGCUGAACCCCAGCUGCUUAUAACUUUAUGGAUCAUGACUGCUCCUUACACAAAUCUAUACUAUUAGUUUUCACUUUGUUUACAUACUAAGUUAGGUGUGUUUGCAUACUAAGUUAGGUUAGUUUCUUAUGUCAGAAUUCAGCAAAUGAAAGCCUCAGGCUGUGUCUCCUGCAUAUUUUGCUUUAACCCAGCACACUGGGCAGUGAUGAGUACUACGGAUAAAGAUAAAGCAGAAAAAGAGGAUCAGAAGAUUGUAAAGGGCUAUAUACACCACUGGAGUGGUCAGGGACAGUGUCACUUGAGAAGGCAGCCUCUGACACAGAUGCAGAGGAUGCCAUAAAGUGAGCUACUCAGACACACGAAGAGCGUGCAGGCAGAGGGCAGAGUGUGUGCAGAGACCUGGGCAGGAGCACGCCAGCCUCCUUGGAGGUGAAGAGGAAGCCAGGCUGGCGCUGCCUAAAGACUGGGAGGAGGCCAGGGUCCAAUAGAUGACAAGAGGGCCCAUCACUCAGUGCCUUGGCCAUUUUAGUCGCUCUGUCUUACUGAGAUAUGAAAGCAUGGAAAGUCAUAGCAGACAGAAGUAAAAUGCUCUCAUUCAAGGAGGCUUUCUUCUUGGAAGGGGAAGAUUUUACCUUACAGAUAAAACAUGCUGUCCCUUGGAAUGCUUGCAGGGAGUGACUUCUCAGGAGGGUGUGGCAGAACCCUUUCAGUGUAGACAACUUUGAGUUUUAGAGCAUCUGAAUCCUUGCUCUGUCAUUCUCCUUCAGUAGAAAACCAUGGGAAAUAUAAACUCCAAGGAGAGAGAGCAGUUUUCAAAUUGUGCCCAGUAUGGGGUCUGGAAUACAGAGAGGAAUCAAGGUGACCCAGUCAUCUCAACCCAGAAGGAAGCAGAUGGGAACUUGGAGUCAGCAAGAGACUUUGAGGCUCUGCCUAACAACCCAUCCUUCCUGCAUCCAAUGUGGGUGGUCAGGAAGGCACCACGAGGAGGAUCCAACUAUGUGUUUGCACAAAUGGCUCCACUCAACAUGCAUGUGACGAGACUAUCCAGAAAGACUGAGAGGCCCCUCAAGCAAGGACCUAGCUGUAGUUACACCAUGAGGUCAGGAAAAGGCUCCUGUAAGUCAAUGGAGUCUUCACAGCCCUAAGUAGGGCUCUGAUGGGGAGUUCUGCAUGGCCACACUUUCCCAGGGUUGCCAUCUCUGCCUGACAGGACACACAAAGUCUGUCCACCUCGGUUUUCCUUGGGACUGGCUGAGGUCCAGGGAACUAUGGGGGUCCUUUGGAAAGAACUUGGGAUUCUUGCCCCCAAAUAAGAGCCCAUUACACCAUGGAAUAUCACCCCUCAAUUCCUUUUUACUAGAAAAGCAAAAUACUUGGAAACAUCGUAAAAGUAAACAAAUUGGACUGUUAGAAUUUGAUGUUGACCUCCAAACAGGAUGAAACUUGCCCCAGUGGAACAGACAGUCAAAGGUGAAGAGAUAACUUCCACCUACAGGUUGAGAUUUACAUGCAUAUCUUCCUGAAUGUUGUGUUUCAGCAGGGAUUGCUGCAAAGACGUUGGAACUCAUCUCACGUGAACUUCACAGGUGAAGGGGGACUUAACAACUGUGAUGUCUCUAAUAAGUGACAAAAAAUGAUGCGGGUAAUAAUUUGACAUUUUUUGCAUUGAAGUCUCUGUUGGAAUAGAACUCGUAAAUUAACACUCUUAGGGGACCUGCUUAGGAGGAAAACAGAAUGAGGAUGGCAAACCCUAUUAACUCAAAGUCUCAAGCCUCUAAUGAAAACUUCCUCAGGGGCUGGGGAAGGAGAAAGACCAGCGCAGUGUGUGGAAACUUUGUACAGCUCAAAGGCUCCAUUUUAUAAUGGUGAACAGCAGAGACCUCAACUGAUUUUAUAACUGAGAUUUAUGUCUCUAACAAAAUAAGAUACAUAACAAAAGAAUGACUGCUCAGCCUUUCUGAAGAGGAAUUGGUAAGCUCUCUAAAGAUACUGUUUACUUAGCUGAGUUACCUAUUUUUUUCUGUAAAUUUGCCACAUCACCCCAGGUUGGAACUCAAAAUCUGUUGUUCUCAUCAAAUCGAUUUCCCACAGAAUGAAGCAUGCAGUAACUAUUCUGGGUAACAUUCAUUGUCAUCCACUCAGAACCCAACUCACAGGAGUCACUGAGAUGAAGAGGUUCUAUGUAGUGAACACAGCCUGUGUGGGGAAGAAAAGAGAUCCACACUCUGAUACUUUUCUAAUAAAACUACUCAUUCUAUCAGAAAGUGGAGGGAAUGAAAUACAGAUAGAUUUAUUUAGAUGCAGUUUCACUAUUAUUCUGUAGGUUGCUUUAACCCUCUUCUGACUUUGGUUAUUAAAUGUGAUGCUUCCAUAAACAGGAAACAGCUGAGCUGUAUGAAUACCUCCAGGACUUGUGCUCUUAAACAUAUGCACAGGUUUCAUGAACUAGGAAGUCUAUCCUGCAAAACUACUAUUGACAAGAAGUAAAGGAGUUAAAAUUAAAACGGGAAAGAAUGAUGACAGCCAGUUCAUUGCAUACCUAUUAUCCGACAGGGACUUACGUGUAAUUUAUCUUUAAUUCUUGUCAAUAAUUCUUGUAAAUUAGGGUUAAGGUUCUUGUGUUGCAGAUAAAAAUAUAGAAACUUAUUGAAAUUAUCCAAGGUCAAAUAACAUGCAGAGACAGGUGGUAAAGCUCAGUGGUAGGAAGCAUGCUUAGCAUAUGGGAGGCCCUGGGUUCAAUCUCCAGAGAGCACAUUGCACACAUACACACACACACACAACACACACACACACACACACACACACACACACACACACACACACAGAGUAGAAAAACAAUUUGAACGUGAAUCUCAUCCCAAAUCCUGUGAACUGUGCAGCACUCUCAAUACUGCAAACAGGAGGUAUCUGUCAAAUGGAAAUUCAAAGAUCCUGGAUUGCAUAAAUAAAAUUCCAAAUCCAUAAUUAAAGGACAUAAAUUUGUCUCAAAUGUGUCUGUGUGCCUGCUUCUUCUCAUCCACUUCUAAUCAGCUUCUUUGAUUGAAUUUGAAUGGAACAGCCUCCUUUACCCUAAAACGAAAGUAGAACUGGUUUUAUUUCCUUUGCAUUGAGAGGCACCUGCUGGGGUCCAGGGACCCUUCAGGCACCAGAGUCAUGAAAGGUGUCCAGGUUCCCCUGCCUGUGGAUGGCGUUGUAGUAAGAGCCGCACUGUGAGCUCUCCUGCAGGUUUUCAAAUGCGCUGAUCGAAAAUGACGAUUGCAGCUGCUGCUAAGUCUCAUUAGUGACUUCAGUCUUCCUCUUCUCAGCCACAUCACGGGUAACUAAUCACACCGGCAGUAACCAGACGAUGAACUUUUGUUUUUCAUUUGUGUUGUAAUUAAGAUGGAAAGAUGUUGCUUUGGAGGUCAGGUCCGCAGUCCGAGUCAGGCCUUCUGCAAGCCUCAGUUCCUUUGUGUACGGAACAAAGAUGGAGAUGACUGUCAUACAGAGCUGCUGCUCGGACUCUGGUGUGAUACCCAAGAGUGUUUAUGAUCCCUCUAUAGCUCUGUCAUUCUAGCACCACAGGACAUUGGAUUGUUUGUUUUUUUCAACCGACAAAUCAAAUUCUUUCCACAUCUCCAUGACCCUGUUCACUUUCCUUACCCGGAAUUGCCCAGCACCGUCUUGCCUAUGGGCAUCUCUUCCAUGUGGAAACCUCCUCUUGGGCACCUGUAGUCUGAAUUCUGAGUUUCUUCUGCAUUUGUGUACCACCUGCCCAUAUUCGCAGUACACUCUUAAAUAAUAUUACUUGAAUUGUUAGUCAUUCUCUGGAUUAAUGUCUUUUUUUCUUUUUUCUUUUUGGUACUUGGAAUCAAAUCAAGGGUCUUUUUCAUGCCAGACAAACACUCUAAAAUUUAGUUACAUUCCCAGUCCUGGCCUAGGUAUUAUUAAUCUUCUGUGUUUCCUUCACAAUGCUCAAAACAGUGCCCGUGCUGAUUAAGUAAAGAAAUCCAUCCUCAUUUAGCAAGGGGAAGGAGUGGAAGGACGUGUCUGUCUUCCUUAAGCAGACUUCACUCUGAAAUAAGCUCGGUUGUCAAAACAACAAUGUAGAAAGCAAUUGUAAAGUGCAUUUUCCAGGAGGAUAAGACUCUCUACCACUUAAUGAAAUUCCUAUCAGACUCCAGUAAAGAAGUGAUUCUGAAGGAAGAUGAGCCAUGGUUUCCAGAUGUUUUGACUGUCCACUCCUCUGCUGCACAGUACACAUGUAUCCAUGAGUAAAACCAAAUAUAUACAACUUUUUGACCGGAUUGGGGAUUGAGUCCAAGGGCCUCACACAUACUAGGAAAGAACCCUCCCACUGAGCUACACCCUAAGUCCUUCUUAUUUAUUUAUUGGUAUCGGGGUUGAACUCACGACCUCCUGCUUGCCCGGCAGGUGCUUAUGCCACUGAGCUAAAUCUCCAGCCCCCAUUUUGUUUUGUUUUGUUUUGUUUCUGCACAAGAUCUUGCAAAGGUCUCUAGGUGUGGGUGUCAAUCUUGAAAUGCUUCUGCUUAACCUUCAUUUCACGGGACCACAGAAGUAUAUCUCUUUGCUGGGUUUGUGCAAAUGUUCAAUUAACCCCCACUCUGCAUACACCUGUUUAUUAAAUAUGUCAAUAUACCACAGAAUUAUUAUAGGGCAUAUUAUAAAAUAUAUCAACAUAUGGAAAAUAUAAUUUUUUUUGUAUUUUUCCUUUUCAUCGGUACUAGGGAUCGAACUCACGACUGCCUGCUUACAAGGCAGGUGCUUAUGCCACUGAGCUAAAUCUCCAGCCCCUGGAAAAUAUAAUUUUAAAAUGAAAUAUUUAGUGUUUUCUCUUUGCACUGUAAAGAAUUAUCUUUUGCAAGAAAAGCUUAAUCUCAGCUGAGCAACUAUAUUUUCUAGUAGGCAAAGGAAACCACAUUAUCUUUCCCUGGACUAUUUCCUGAUGUGGGCUAGCUUCCCUCUCUCUCCAGAUUCUCUUACAAGACCACCAACAUUCUUCAAACAUUAGUGAAACAAAACAGGAGGAGGGUUUAGAGCUCUGGUUUCUCCAUCUGGAAAUGUCACAAUUCAAUCCUGAAGGUUUGCUGUGAAGUUGUAAGCAUGACAGUGUAAAACUCAACAGAUUAUUCUUGAAUUCUUUGUUUUCCUUGUGACCUGAGUCUCAUUAAAUUUAUUUUAUUUUUCUUCCAAACUCCCAGGGUGUGAUCAUAUGAUUCAAAUGGAGAAAAACACUGUCAAAACAGUAUCAUGGAAUCAUUGCUUUUACACUGUUUUCAUUAAAUAAAAAACUUCACUAUCCA